AUCGAUAUGUCUGAGUGGUUAAGGAGACAGACUUCAAAUCUGUUGGGCUUUGUUGGUU
rnacentral:tRNA from 1 species